CGGGAUGUAGCUCAGCUUGGGAGAGCACCUGCUUUGGGAGCAGGGGGUCGCAGGUUCGAAUCCUGUCAUCCCGA
rnacentral:tRNA from 1 species